UGACAGUGAAGAAUAAGCCCAAG
rnacentral:piRNA from 1 species